rnacentral:rRNA from 1 species
UACGAAGGGGGGCUAGCGUUGCUCGGAAUCACUGGGCGUAAAGGGUGCGUAGGCGGGUCUUUAAGUCAGGGGUGAAAUCCUGGAGCUCAACUCCAGAACUGCCUUUGAUACUGAGGAUCUUGAGUUCGGGAGAGGUGAGUGGAACUGCGAGUGUAGAGGUGAAAUUCGUAGAUAUUCGCAAGAACACCAGUGGCGAAGGCGGCUCACUGGCCCGAUACUGACGCUGAGGCACGAAAGCGUGGGGAGCAA